GUCGACACAGAUCCAGAAACACACCUCUGAGGAAACUGGCAUGUUCUUUCAAACAUGCAGACACACAGUUGGCUGUCUGCAAACUGAUUAUUACAUGACAUGAAAACUGAGAGCUUCCACAAGCAAGCUUCAAACCAGGGGAGGCAACAUGGGACACCUGUCGGUGCUUUUAUUGUUUGGUGUAGUGCUCUGAAUCAGCAGUAGGGGAUAAAGUGGUGCCUUGUGCUGUAUGCAGAUGUGACAAAAAGAGGAAGAAGAAAACAAAAAUAAAGGACUGAACUGCUGAAGAGACAUUUUGCCAUCUCUAAAGGAUCCAUAAAUGAGAUUUCGAACACUGAAACAAAAGUUCGACAAAUAAGUUUUGUUUUUACCUGCAACAGUUUGUUGCACUGUAAAAUCUGAAGUGACUUUACUUCAGUUAUUUAGAGUGGUACAGGGCUUAAAGGGGACUGUUGGGCCUUGGUGCUCUACUGAGUGCUAUAUAAAGAUAGAGUGGA